rnacentral:rRNA from 1 species
UACGAAGGGUGCAAGCGUUAAUCGGAAUUAUUGGGCGUAAAGCGCGCGUAGGCGGUUACUCAAGUCGGAUGUGAAAGCCCUCGGCUUAACUGAGGAAGUGCACCCGAAACUGAGUAGCUAGAGUACUAAAGAGGGUCGCGGAAUUCCCGGUGUAGAGGUGAAAUUCGUAGAUAUCGGGAGGAACACCGGUGGCGAAGGCGGCGACCUGGGUAGAUACUGACGCUGAGGCGCGAAAGCAUGGGGAGCGAACAGG